UUUGCGUUAGGGAUUAGAGCGGCAUCCUUUUACAUCAACAGCUGCCCAAUAAGGCAGCUGUUGAUGUAAAAGAUAUAGCGGAAAGCCCGACCUUGA
rnacentral:sRNA from 1 species